GACGAACGCUGGCGGCGUGCUUAACACAUGCAAGUCGAACGGAAAGGCCCUGCUUGCAGGGUGCUCGAGUGGCGAACGGGUGAGUAACACGUGGGUGAUCUGCCCCUUACUUUGGGAUAAGCCUGGGAAACUGGGUCUAAUACUGGAUAGGACCAUGCUGUAGGUGGUGUGGUGGAAAGAUUAGUUUCGGUAAGGGAUGAGCUCGCGGCCUAUCAGCUUGUUGGUGGGGUAAUGGCCUACCAAGGCGUCGACGGGUAGCCGGCCUGAGAGGGUGGACGGCCACAUUGGGACUGAGAUACGGCCCAGACUCCUACGGGAGGCAGCAGUGGGGAAUAUUGCACAAUGGGCGCAAGCCUGAUGCAGCGACGCCGCGUGGGGGAUGACGGCCUUCGGGUUGUAAAGUCCUUUCAGCCAUGACGAAGCCCUUGUGGUGACGGUAGUGGUAGAAGAAGCACCGGCUAACUACGUG
rnacentral:rRNA from 1 species